GAGAAUCUUUCGCAAUGGGCGAAAGCCUGACGAAGCGACGCCGUGUGAACGAGGAAGGCCUUCGGAUCGUAAAGCCCUGUCAGGUGGGAAGAAAGGCUUUAGGUCGAAGAGACUGGGGACUUGACGGUACCACCAGAGGAAGCACCGGCUAACUCCGUGCCAGCAGCCGCGGUAAUACGGAGGGUGCGAGCGUUAUUCGGAAUUACUGGGCGUAAAGCGCGUGCAGGCGGUUUGACAAGUCUGAUGUGAAAGCCCCGGGCUUAACCUGGGAAGAGCAUUGGAAACUGUUGGACUUGAGUACUGGAGAGGAAGGGGGAAUUCCCGGUGUAGAGGUGAAAUUCGUAGAGAUCGGGAGGAAUACCAGUGGCGAAGGCGCCCUUCUGGACGGCUACUGACGCUGAGACGCGAAAGCGUGGGGAGCAAACA
rnacentral:rRNA from 1 species